ensembl:lncRNA
AGCUUCUAAGUGAACGCAAGUGCUGUGCAUUCAACGUCAGACCGCUCAAGAAAGAUCCCCAAACUCAUUUCCUGCAAGUGGGAAGGGAGAUGCGGUUGGAGGGAAUUGGGGGGAUGGCAAACCCCACAAGGAAUGAGGUUGGUACCCAAUUAGCUUCUUUUCAUAUUAUGGGUUUAGGGAGGCCAAGAAAUCCCAGGAUGGCUCCAGUCAUUUUCACAUUGGCAAAGAGGAACAAUAUCGCUUUUUAAUAGUGUGAGGUCGGAGGAAAAAAGGGGCAGAGGGAGGAGAGGGGAGAGCAAGCCAAAGGAGGUUGUGAAUGCAGAGAAUUCCCUGGGCAUAGGCAUUUUUGUGAAAAAGAGAAAGAAAGGAGAUUAAAAAAUUAAUAACUUGAAUGUGUGAUCAAUAAAAAUAAUUAUCAUCUUGCAGCCCAUUUUUCGUACAGCACUCAGUGGCCUGAGAGUAAUUGCUGACAUGAAGAGCAAAGCACUUGAAAUGCCCAAUUACCAAAAAUCCUCUCUUUUAAAAAGGUUUUUCUCUGCAAAUCUCGAUGUGUUUUUCCUUCCUGUCUUCCACACUCCACCGUUUGGUGGAAAGACAGUUGAGGAGCUAAAUAUAUAUUAAUCAGAACUCUUGGGGCCGGCAUCGGUGAGAUACAAUUAUACCAAACGGAUGCCAUUGCAGGCUGAUAGCUUCAUUUAAAUUCCUGAAUAAAACAUGAAAUAUCUUUAAUGAGAAAUGAACAGAGUUGUCAGGAGGGAGUAGUUCUGGUAUUGUUACCAGUUGAGAUACAGAAGAUGAAGACAUAAAGUGAUACCUUCCAUGUUAUAUAGAGUUGACGGCUGUUGGAAAACACAGAUCCCUCUUCCGAGAUGUCACGCGGGCCACAAAACAGAAAAACAGCAGAGCAUAGCGGCCCCAUCUCCUCCCAGGGAGCUGCAGGGUUUGAGCUUCUGUGCAUCUGCAGAAACAAACACAGUCUGCGUGCGGCCAGGAAAAGGGAUCCUCGCAAACUGCUUUGUGACAGUACACACGUGCCUCUCCGACCAGCAACGCACUGCUGCUUGCGCAGCAGGAGUUGGGUUUGGCUCCACACCCAGCACGAAUUUUGUUGAGAGCGUGAGAGGAUCAAGACAGCCACAUCAACAAGAAAACUGGAUGAAAAACGAGGACACUAGGAGACAGACUGGUACCCUUGCAGUGACACAUUGGAGUAGGUACCCAUUGUGGCGUGGAUGUGCCUUAUCCCCCAGGGCUCAUGAACUGCAAGCGUGGUCCCCAGUGUGGUAUCGUUGAGUGACAGUGAACUGUUCAGAGAUGGGGACCAGGGCUAUAUGCUUGGGCCUUGGGGAUACAAACUGUGGAAGAAAGGAGGUACUUUUAUGGCAUCACAGUUAGUUCUCAAGAGCAUUGGUUGCUGUAAAAGAAGCAAGCCUGGCCCCUGUUUGUCUCUGACUUCCUGUCUUGCGAUGAUGUGGCUCCAGGAUGUGCCCCCACCUUUGUGAGCCAUUGCUGGUUGUGCUUGCUACAGCUGCGCAAGAACCAGCACCAUGCCCUUGAGCCUUCAGGACAGUGAACUGAACAUUUUUUCUUCCAGAAGUGCCCAGCCCCAAGUAUUCUGUUAUAGCAAUGGAAAAUUCGAUAAUGCAGUUGUCCAAAUAGAAGUACUUUUGUUUGAAAUAAUUUAAAAUAAAGGAAAAUGUCUUUAUUAAUGAUUUGUGCCU